GUAAAUUUGGUUUCUUCUCUUUGUGUUAGUGCAGUUGUAUCAUGUAAGUGGACACUGACUCCAACCAGUUACCAAGGAACCGCAGAUGAAGUGUGAUUAUUGAUUGUUUAGUAAAUGCCUUGGCACCUUUUAGUGACCCUAGUUUCUUAAGGUACCAGCUCUGGAGAGCUGAUUGAAAGGAGCAAUUGAAUACUGAAUACUAGGGUCUGAACUACAACAUAGUCCAGAAUAUUCAGGAAGGUUUUUAAGAUUCAGUAAAAUAUGUAAUCACUUCAUCUGCCUCUCGUGAAAUCUUCCAACUAAUUGAACAUUUUCAGGAGUUCUUUGCAUUAGUGUUACAAUUGUAAGUGUGAUAGUGCAAUGCCUUUUUGAAACUCAAGAUCAUAGAUAUUCCUAAAACUUCUGUGAUAUAAUUUUUUUUAAGUCAUAGAGGAUAAAUGU
rnacentral:lncRNA from 1 species